rnacentral:ncRNA from 1 species
CCUGUUGAGAUUGACUCUAGUCCGACUUUGUAAAAUGACUUGAGAGGUGUAGGAUAAGUGGGAGCUGGAAACAGCAAAAGUGAAAUACCACUACUUUUAACGUUAUUUUACUUAUUCCG